rnacentral:rRNA from 1 species
GACGAACGCUGGCGGCGUGCUUAACACAUGCAAGUCGAGCGGUAAGGCCCUUUCGGGGGUACACGAGCGGCGAACGGGUGAGUAACACGUGGGUGACCUGCCCUCAGCUCUGGGAUAAGCCUGGGAAACCGGGUCUAAUACUGGAUAUGACUCCAUGACGCAUGCUGUGGGGUGGAAAGCCUUGUGCGGCUGAGGAUGGGCCCGCGGCCUAUCAGCUUGUUGGUGGGGUGAUGGCCUACCAAGGCGACGACGGGUAGCCGGCCUGAGAGGGCGACCGGCCACACUGGAACUGAGACACGGCCCAGACUCCUACGGGAGGCAGCAGUGGGGAAUCUUGCGCAAUGGGGCGAAAGCCUGACGCAGCGACGCCGCGUGAGGGAUGACGGCCU